rnacentral:rRNA from 1 species
CAGAGACUGCAAGCGUUAUUCGGAUUCACUGGGCGUAAAGGGUGCGCAGGCGGCCGUGUGUGUUGGGCGUGAAAGCCCGGGGCUUAACCUCGGAAUUGCACCCAAAACUACAUGGCUAGAGCAUUGGAGAGGGUAGCAGAAUUCAUGGUGUAGCAGUGAAAUGCGUAGAUAUCAUGAGGUAUACCAGAGGCGAAGGCGGCUACCUGGACAAUUGCUGACGCUCAGGCACGAAAGCGUGGGGAGCAAAAGGGAUUAGAUACCCCUGUAGUCCACGCCCUAAACGGUGCACACUAGGUCUUGGCGGAUUCGACCCCCCCAGGGCCCCAGCUAACGCGUUAAGUGUGCCGCCUGAGGACUACGGCCGCAAGGCUA